GAGAGAGGAGAGAGAGAUUUCUUGUUUCAUUUAUUUAGGCAUUCAUUGGUUGAUUCUUGUAUGUGCCUUGACCAGGAAUCACACGCACAAUCUUGGUGUAUCAGGAGGCUGCUGUAACCAAGUGACCUACCUAGUCAGGGCAAAAUAUACCCCAUUUGUAAGAGAACCAGAGGUGAGCAGAGGAAAUUUGUUCUCUGAGAACUCUCCCAUCUGGACCCACUGCCUGGGCUGUCUCCCUCAGGGGUCCCCUUGCUCUUCUUGCCCUCUUGUUGCCAACCCUUUUGGGGCCAGUGACCCAAAUGCAGGCCCUUCUGCGCAGGCUAAUAGAACUAGAAUGAGACGGAUCCCUCGGGUCAAGCAGAGUAGAAAGUGUCUUCUUUGCUCAGGAGUGGAGAAGGGUGAGAAAUAGGCCUUCUCCCCCAAGGGGGAGGUCAGGGGGCUUUUAAGGGGUUUAAAGUAGGAAGGUGGGAUACGGGGGUGAUGAAUUUCAAAAACAAGGGAGCCGAUUUCAGGGAAGAAUUGGGGUAUGCGGAGCCCAAAUGGUUCCCUGGGUAUGAUUUUAAUACGUUAAUGAAGACAAAUUCCCCGGAGGUACUGCCUUUGAGCUCUCUACUCGGCAUGUCUGCAGGUGCCGCGGUUAACCAUUGGCAGCUCACUCACUUCCUGUGAGCAAGCACGGCUUGUGAGCUGACAUUUGGGAGCAGGAGGGUUUCCUGGAUGCUGUCCCUGUGGCACUCGCAUGUUCCCCAGGGCCCCUGUGUGCUGAGCGCCUCCUGGUCAAGGGCCCGCAGAUCUGGGGCUCACUCCCUUGGAGGACCGCGGGGGUGGGGGUGGGGGUGCGGGGGAGGCAGCCUCACUGCUCACAGGCUGCCUACGCGAGAGCAGGAGUGAGCGGCGGAAGACGGGAGGGAAGGGUGGCCACCUGCAGGGUGGUGGCUGCGGGACCAGGGCUCUCUUCCCGAACUCAGCCUCGGCUGAUCGCCAGCGCGUGGGGGAGGCUGCGGGGCGGACCCUUCGCGCAGCGGGGCCUCCGAGCCUUCCGGACAAGGGGGUACAGAAACGGCGUGUGGGUCUCAAGACGGGGAAUACUGGGGCCCCCGAGGCAGCCACUCCCUAGGAGUCUGGCGUGAAGGCCCCGCUCCCUUUCACAGACUCGAGCCUCCAGGAACGACUUCUCCCACCUCCAGGAGGUCACAUCGCAGAGGCCAUUCCUGAUUCACGCUCUCCACCUCCUCAAGGAAGGAGUGGAGAAGCAGCCAAUCGGAGCAAGGCCGUGGCGGCUUCCAGCCAAUCAGCACCUAGGGACGGCCGUUGAGGCGGGCGUCGGUGGGGAGGCAGUGGCGGCGGGGCUCCCCCCGCGCAGCGGUCCCGCCCCCUCGCGCGGAUUGGCUGCUGCCGCCCGGCUGCACCGCCCGCCCCCCGCGCUACGCUGAGCGCCCGCUGCUCCGCGCCCUCUCGUGGCGGCCGCGUUCUGGGUUAAUCCACCGCUGGGUGUUUGUUGGCUCCUCCGUCCGCUCCGCGGGGCGGGUCAUGGGCUCCGGAGGCCGCGGUCUUCAGUAGCAGCGCCUCAGAAGCAGGAGGGGAGCUGAGGUCUAGCACUUUUCCAGGAACUGGGACUUCUGAAUAGAGAGGAAGGGAGAAGAAUAGAGACAGACACAUCUAUGAGGGAGAAACAUCCAUUAGCUGUCUCCUGCACGCCCCCUAGUGGGGAUCGAUCCCACAACCAAGGUACAUGCCCUUGACCAGAAAUGAACCCGGGAUUCUUCAGUCUGCGGGCCAAUACUCUAUCCACUGAGCCAAACCGGUUAAGGUGAAUUAGAAUCUUUUUAACAAAGAGCAUUUUUUGGUGGGUAGUCAUGUCCUAAACGAGUAUCUUCCCUGACAAAGGUCAAUCUUUACCUUAAAUGAGCCUGUCGUCUUUUUGCAUCUAUAAUAACAUAUCUUUGGAAUGGCGAAGUGAUUUUCCUUUUUCCAGACCCCUCAAAGCACAGGCACCACUCUGUGGAGACCGCAAAUCCCCUCAUUGUUAUUGAGUUAAUUGUUGACUGUUAACUAUUCUGCACCCACUAAGUAAAAGGAGUGUCUAUCAUUUUACUUUUGACCUAAUCCCAGAGGUUUCUCUGCUUUGCUUCCUCCUACCUCCCUAAUCUAUCACCAGUGGAUUUCAUGUAAACCACUUACUUUUCCUCUUUUGAUUGUAAUGUAUAAAGGUGCAAAACUGUCAUUCUCUGGAGCAUCAUCUCAAUCCGUUGAGAUUUUGCUUCCUAGCAAUUAUUGACAGUUUUGUCUCAAAUAAACUCACAAAAAUUCUUCAUAGGCUUGAAUGUUUCUUACAUUGACAUAACUAAGACCUUCUAGCUCCUAGGUGUGGACAGAGUGGGGUGCAUGGGUCUCAAUUCCAUUCCUAAAUUGGUUCACCUGCAUUGGAAAACGUUCGGCAUGGCUUCAGACAAUUGAAGGUGUGCAAACAUGGUGCCCAGCAGCGAUGCCCCGGGUGAGUCCUUAAUAGUACAGUAGCACCUGCACCAGAAGAAGUGCUCAUCGUAGAAGUGGGAUCUUAAGGUGGUCCAGUGCUAUAAGUUCUCUAUGAAAAGAACACAAAAUUAUGAACAUAAAAUGUUUGUGUCUUUUCUUUUAAUCUGAAGGAAAACAUGUUCAGGGCUUCUAAACGAUAAAGAGAAAAUGUUGGCGUAGACUGGUAUUCAGUCUGGUGCCAAACUUCCAAUAGAUUCAAAUCCACAUAAGAAUUUUAUUCAAAGAGGCAAUCCUAAUAGAGUAAUCCUUCAACCUUCUAAAAAUUUGCUGUUUCAAAAAACAAAAACACAUUUGUGUCAAAGUUUAUUUUCUUUUAAAAAUAUAUUUUUUAUUGAUUUCGGAGAGGAAGGGAGAGGGAGAGAGAGAUAGAAACAUCAAUGAUGAGAGAAAAUCAUUGAUCAGCUGCCUCUUGCACACCCCCUUCUGGAGACCAAGACCGCAACUUGGUCAUGUGGCCUGACCAGGAAUCGAACUGUGAGACCGCCUGGUUCAUAGGUUGAAGCUCAACCACUGAGCCACUCUGACUGGGCCUGACUGCUUCUUCUAAUUUUUUUUUUUUUAUUUCUAUGUCCAUUUUAAUGUUGUUGAAGUUCUCACUAAGUUCCUUGAACAUCCUGAUAACCAUUGUUUUGAACUCUGUAUCUGGUAGUUUGCUUGCCUCCAUUUCAUUUAGUUCAUUUUUUGGAGAUGUCUCCUGUUCUUUUAUUUGGCA